GGCAGGAAGGCACCAGGCAGAGGGAGCAGCACGUGCAAAGGCACGGAGGCCCAGGAGAGCAUGGGGCCUUUGACUUGCAAGAGAUUUCCUGUGUGUGAUUGCUAUAUGGGGUCCCACACUUACAGGGAAAGCAUCACCCGAAAGUGAGAAUGCCUAGAGGCAGGAAUCAUGGAGGCUUCCUUAACCGUCUGUCUGCAACAGCAGGUGCUAGAGAUGACACUGCAGAGUAGAGAACAAAGGAAUCUUAGUAAUUGUUCAAUCCAAUCUCCACACUUUAAAGAUGAAGAAACUGGUAUUGAGAAAAAUACACAGCUUAUCCAAGGUUGCACUGCUGGUUGGUAGCUGAGAUGAAUUUAGAACCCACAUCUGAUGACUACACCAUAUUGCUCCCAGUUUUCCUGUCUGUUCCACAUGUAAAAGUCUGACUCUUCACUUCUCCUUUGAGUAUAUAGACUUUUAACAUUUUUGUAUGUCAAGAUGGACUUUUCCUCAUACCCAGCCCCUGCCUUUUCUCCUCCCUUCAUACCUUGCAGGAUCUUUAACAGAAUUUAAAAGGAGUUUUUUGUUUUGUUUUGAUGUAUCUAAUAAAAGUCAAGGGAGGGAGAGGGCCAGUAUAAGCAAGAGUACAGUUUCCUAGUUUGUAGAUGCGGUAGUCUGAGGAAUCAGAAACACACAAAGGUUUGGAGAACUGGUACAUGCUCCCAGGUGGGAAGCCAGGACUCUUGGUAGGAUCUUGAGGACAAGGCAAAGGACAAUAAGAGAGCGAGGGGAUCCUAGAGGUGGAAUCAAGGAAGAGAAACUAGAGAGAGAAAAAGGAACUGGCUAUCCAUCCAUGAUGGAUCCUGUGUGGACUGAUGGGUGGCUUGGCAUCAUCCUUUAGUAGACUUCAUGUGGUUGAAUAAUUGGCCAAUGGAAGGAAUUUCUUUUUUGGUAACAGACUCUGUGUGUACAGUUAUGGGUCUUAAUUUAUAAUAAAAGGUUACAUUGAAAAUUGA
ensembl:lncRNA LINC02532 long intergenic non-protein coding RNA 2532